rnacentral:rRNA from 1 species
UAAUACGUAGGGUGCAAGCGUUGUCCGGAAUUACUGGGCGUAAAGAGUUCGUAGGCGGUUUGUCGCGUCGUUUGUGAAAACCAGCAGCUCAACUGCUGGCUUGCAGGCGAUACGGGCAGACUUGAGUACUGCAGGGGAGACUGGAAUUCCUGGUGUAGCGGUGAAAUGCGCAGAUAUCAGGAGGAACACCGGUGGCGAAGGCGGGUCUCUGGGCAGUAACUGACGCUGAGGAACGAAAGCGUGGGUAGCGAACAGGAUUAGAUACCCUGGUAGUCCACGCCGUAAACGGUGGGCGCUAGGUGUGGGUUCCUUCCACGGAAUCCGUGCCGUAGCUAACGCAUUAAGCGCCCCGCCUGGGGAGUACGGCCGCAAGGCUAAAACUUAAAUGAAUUGACGG